CUACAAUUUUCUAUGAUUUUAAAGUUGUAUUAAAUCAGAGUUUCAACGUGUACAGUUAGCAUUUGGAAAUGAAGGUCCAUCUCGUACUACUUUAUUCAGAUGGUUUACAGAAUUUCAUAGAAGUGGAAAUUCCCUUCAGGAUUAAGAACACACGGUAAAGCCGUUGUCAGAAGUAAUCCCGGAUAAUGUAUCUGCCAUAGGAAAAAUGUUAAUCGAUGAUAAUCACCGCACCUACGAAAUGAUACAGAAGGAAUUGAAUACUGGAUUCACCGCCAUACGUAGAAUUAUUUAUGAAGGUUAGACUAUUUCACUGGAGGACAUUAACUGAAGUUUUAACUGUUGUUUGGCAAUCAUGGUCAUGGCUGGUGAACAGUGAAGAAGUUUGCCGAGUUUGUGCAGUUUUCCGAUAUUUUCUUGAGCGAAAACGUAUGGCUAGGUAAAUGACAAGAAAAACAGCUCAGAAAAAUCACACAAGAAUUUCUCGAAAAAGAAAACUGCCUUGCCAAAAUGUCGCCAUGGAAACUGGAAACAAGCUGUGCCCACUGAGCCACUGAAGACCAUAGGUCUUAUUAGCAGUCAUCAGUUAGUGAAAGGUAAUCCCCAAGCAAUUUUUAAUGAUAUAAGUCAGGUUUUAAUAGGUACUUAAAUUUUCUUGAUCAGUUAUCGGUGCAUUAGAUACGUCACUUUACAGUUCUUCACUUCAGAAAUUCUGUCACUGUGUCACCUUAUGACGUUUGUAAUAGCAAGAAUUCCAUCAUAUCCAUGAGCUUGUCUUCAUUUUCAUUCUACGGAAUGCUGAAUCUCAGGUUCAGCUUUGGAGAUAGAUUGUAGAGAUCAGUGACAUGACUGUCUCAGUGCUCUACAGCUGCUGCAAAGAAAGACAUAUUUUUUGUAUUAAGCAGGUGACUUCAUAGACAGUUAUACAUACUACAGUUUGUAUUAAUAAGGGUUUACUGUAAAAUGAAGGUAUAAAUUAUUAAGAAGCAUAUGUAUUCCUUUUAAGCUGCAUAGAUUAAGUACUGUGA